rnacentral:rRNA from 1 species
CCUACGGGUGGCAGCAGUGAGGAAUAUUGGUCAAUGGCCGGAAGGCUGAACCAGCCAUGCCGCGUGAAGGUCAGUGCCCUAUGGGCGUUAAACUUCUUUUGUGCGGGAGCAAUAAUGGUCACGUGUGGCCAGACGAGAGUACCGUACGCAUAAGCAUCGGCUAACUCCGUGCCAGCAGCCGCGGUAAUACGGGGGAUGCAAGCGUUAUCCGGAUUUAUUGGGGUUAAAGGGUGCGUAAGCUGUGAGGUAAGUCAGCGGUGAAAUGCCCCCGCUCAACGGGGUGAAGUGCCAUUGAUACUGGCUUGCUGGAAUGCGGAUGCGGUGGGAGGAAUGUGUGGUGUAGCGGUGAAAUGCAUAGAUAUCAGACAGAACACCGAUUGCGAAGGCAUCUCACGAAUCCGCGAUUGACGCUGAUGCACGAAAGCGUGGGUAUCAAACAGGAUUAGAUACCCCUGUAGUC